UGAAACGGAGGGCAGCAGGAAGUUCGAUUUCCGUUGGUUGCUUUCACAUUGGAAGCCAGCGCCGCCGCCCCACGCCCCACCGUCUCGUUCGCCGCCGAGCCCGAGCAGCGGCGGACUCCCUCCCGUCCCAUGGGUUGCGUAGGAACCACCCCUGCCACCAAGGAUGCCGAGCCGGUCCGCCGGUGACAGUAGCGACGACUUAUCUGGAUGACAGAUGCAGAGUUCACAAGUACACGAUUGAUCUCUGCUAUAGUGUACCUGCAGCGCUCCUUGGCUGGACUUCAGUGCAAGGAAGUAAUUUGUCUGAGUCAACACGUGAUGUGGAUCUUGUGAUCACUGUUUGUGGUGAUGGCACUCUUCUACGAGCUAACCACUUGGAUAGUUCAGUUCCUAUGUUUAGCUGUAGUUAAGCAAGAGCAACACAUGCUUGUCGUCUGGUACAGCCAAGAGGGUGCUGUGUAGUAUGCUUACAGUUUGCAUGUCACGGGAGUUCAGUUCAGCAUGGGGACACACUUGAUGCUCUCAGAUGCUCCAACUUUAAAAGUUGUUUUGCCGGAACAUUUGCUAAAGAAGGCAUCUGAAUAGUGAGAUAAUAAUAUUUUUUUAUGGUGC